CUCUUAUCAAGAGAGGUGGAGGGACGUGCCCGAUGAAGCCCGGCAACCGUCAACGGUGAAAUGCUUGUUGAAAAGGUGCCAAUUCACACAAAGCUUCGUGCUUUGGAAGAUGAGAG
rnacentral:ncRNA from 2 species